rnacentral:rRNA from 1 species
GACGAACGCUGGCGGCGUGCCUAAUACAUGCAAGUCGACCUUAGUGGCGAACGGGUGAGUAAACCGUGGGUAACCUGCCCAUCAGCAGGGGAUAACCCUUGGAAACAGGUGCUAAUACCGUAAACUGAUGGAUGGACCAGCGGUGCAUUAGCUAGUUGGUGAGGUAACGGCUCACCAAGGCCACGAUGCAUAGCCGACCUGAGAGGGUGAUCGGCCACACUGGGACUGAGACACGGUCCAGACUCCUACGGGAGGCAGCAGUGGGGAAUAUUGGACAAUGGGCGAAAGCCUGAUCCAGCCAUGCCGCGUGUGUGAAGAAGGUCUUCGGAUUGUAAAGUACUUUUAGCGGGGAGGCGUUACCCGCAGAAGAAGCACCGGCUAACUCCGUGCCAGCAGCCGCGGUAAUAC